rnacentral:rRNA from 1 species
UACCUUUCAGACGAGGAUAACAGUUGGAAACGACUGCUAAGACUGGAUAGGAAGUUUUAAGGCAUCUUGAAACUUUUAAAAGACCCGCAAGGGUAUGCUGAGAGAUGGGCUUGCGGCACAUUAGUUAGUUGGUAAGGUAAUGGCUUACCAAGACCAUGAUGUGUAGCUGGACUGAGAGGUUGAACGGCCACAUUGGGACUGAGAUACGGCCCAAACUCCUACGGGAGGCAGCAGUAAGGAAUUUUCGGCAAUGGAGGAAACUCUGACCGAGCAACGCCGCGUGAACGAUGAAGUAUUUAGGUACGUAAAGUUCUUUUAUUAAAGAAGAAAAAAUGAUGGAAAAAUCAUUCUGACGGUAUUUAAUGAAUAAGCCCCGGCUAACUAUGUGCCAGCAGCUGCGGUAAUACAUGGGGGGCAAGCGUUAUCCGGAUUUAUUGGGCGUAAAGGGUGCGUAGGCGGUUUAAUAAGUCUAUGGUCUAAGUUCAACGCUUAACGUUGUGAUGCUAUAGAAACUGUUUGACUAGAGUUGGAUAGAGGCAAGUGGAAUUCCAUGUGUAGCGGUAAAAUGCGUAAAGAUAUGGAGGAACACCAGUAGCGAAGGCGGCUUGCUGGGUCUUAACUGACGCUGAGGCACGAAAGCGUGGGGAGCAAACAGGAUUAGAUACCCUGGUAGUCCACGCCGUAAACGAUGAGUACUAAGUGUUGGGUUAAACCAGUGCUGAAGUUAACGCAUUAAGUACUCCGCCUGAGUAGUACGUACGCAAGUAUGA